rnacentral:rRNA from 1 species
UAUGGCUCAGGAUGAACGCUAGCGACAGGCUUAACACAUGCAAGUCGAGGGGCAGCACGGGAGUAGCAAUACUUGGUGGCGACCGGCGCACGGGUGAGUAACGCGUAUGCAACCUACCUAUCAGAGGGGAAUAACCCGGCGAAAGUCGGACUAAUACCGCAUAAAACAGGGGCACCGCAUGGUGAUAUUUGUUAAAGAAAUUCGCUGAUAGAUGGGCAUGCGUUCCAUUAGGUAGUUGGUGAGGUAACGGCUCACCAAGCCGACGAUGGAUAGGGGAACUGAGAGGUUGGUCCCCCACACUGGUACUGAGACACGGACCAGACUCCUACGGGAGGCAGCAGUGAGGAAUAUUGGUCAAUGGGCGGGAGCCUGAACCAGCCAAGUCGCGUGAAAGGAAGAAGGAUCUAUGGUUCGUAAACUUCUUUUGCAGGGGAAUAAAGUGCAGGACGUGUCCUGUUUUGUAUGUACCCUGAGAAUAAGGAUCGGCUAACUCCGUGCCAGCAGCCGC